rnacentral:rRNA from 1 species
GACGAACGCUGGCGGCGUGCUUAACACAUGCAAGUCGAACGGAAAGGCCCGGCGCUUGUGGGGUGCUCGAGAGGCGAACGGGGGAGUGACACGCGUGGAAACUGUCCUUGUCUGUGGGGUAACAUCAGGAAACAGGGGCUAAUACCGGAUAGGAUCUCUUGCUGCAUGGUGGGGGUUGGAGAGUUUCGGCGGUUGGGGAUGGACUCGCGGCUUAUCAGCUUGUUGGUGGGGUAGUGGCUUACCAAGGCUUUGACGGGUAGCCGGCCUGAGAGGGUGACCGGCCACAUUGGGACUGAGAUACGGCCCAGACUCCUACGGGAGGCAGCAGUGGGGAAUAUUGCACAAUGGGCGGAAGCCUGAUGCAGCAACGCCGCGUGCGGGAUGACGGCCUUCGGGUUGUAAACCGCUUUCGCCUGUGACGAAGCGUGAGUGACGGUAAUGGGUAAAGAAGCACCGGCUAACUACGUG